AUGGAAGGGCCAUCGCUCAACGGACAAAAGGUACGCUGGGGAUAACAGGCUGAUUCCGCCCAAGAGUCCAUAUCGACGGCGGAGUUUGGCACCUCGAUGUCGGCUCAUCACAUCCUGGGGCUGUAGCCGGUCCCAAGGGUAUGGCUGUUCGCCAUUUAAAGUGGUACGUGAGCUGGGUUCAGAACGUCGUGAGACAGUUUGGUCCCUAUCUGCCGUGGGCGCUGGAUAUUUGACGGGGCCUGCUCCUAGUACGAGAGGACCGGAGUGGACGUACCGCUGGUGUACCGGUUGUGAUGCCAAUCGCAUUGCCGGGUAGCUAUGUACGGAAGAGAUAACCGCUGAAAGCAUCUAAGCGGGAAACUCGCCUGAAGAUGAGAUAUCCCGGGGCUUUAAGUCCCCUAAAGAGCCGUUGAAGACCACAACGUUGAUAGGCUGGGUGUGGAAGCGUGGUAACACGUUAAGCUAACCAGUACUAAUCACUCGUGAGGCUUGACUCC
rnacentral:rRNA from 1 species